GGUUAAGUCAAGACCCAGGGUUAUUAACCCUAGGCUUUCGUCUCUAUUGAAAGUGCUUUACAACCCUCAGGCCUUCUUCACACACGCGGUAUUGCUGGAUCAGGCUUGCGCCCAUUGUCCAAUAUUCCCC
rnacentral:rRNA from 1 species